rnacentral:lncRNA from 1 species
GGCCAGCAUGCACAAAUGCUCAGCAGUCUGUCCUCCCUAACUAUAGGUUUUACCUGAUAAGAUGUGUCCAUGUCUCUGAGAGGGGAUCCAGGUGUCCUAAGGUCCCCAGCAGGGAUCUCCCAGAAUCCUUCUUGCUCCCUUCGGAAUCAUAGGACUUGGGUUUGAAUUCCAGCUCUGCCAUUUACUAGCUAUGUGACCUUGGGUUUCUGGCCUUCGGGGCAGAGCACUUCUCCCCAGUGGCCCCCAGGUGGCGAGCUCGGCCUGUGCUGCUAUUUCAGCCUUCCAUGGGCGGCUGGAGAAAAGCAUUCGUUCAAGGAACGGGGGGAAUCUGCCUAUCUGUGCCCAACCCCAGCUCCAACCCUCGACCCUGGCCCAGAUCCUAGGAAGUCAACCAUCAGCGCUGAGAAUCAGCACAGUGUGGUAAGAAUUCAGGACCUGGGUCCACAUACCCACUCUGCUGCCAAUGUGACCUUGGGCAAAUCAUCAAACUCCUCGGAUCCUAAAUUUCCACAUCUGUAAAAUGGGGAGGUUGGAGUAGACUGAGGUCCAGUUAAUCUCUAAAUUUAUGCUCCUUUGAUAAUGAUAGCUAACAUUUAUAUAACGUUUUAAAGUUUGCAGAGCAUUCAACAUACGAUAUUCUUACAACAACCUUGUCAGGCAGGUGCUAUUAUUAUUAUUAUUUCCAUUUUGCAGAUCAGGAAACUGAGGCUGAGAGGUUAAGUGGUUUAUCUGUGGUCUUCCAGCUAGUAAGUGUCAGAGGUGCAAUUUGAACCCGGGUCUUUCUAAAUCCCAAGUCAGGCACUCUAUCUUCUAUUCCAGGCUGUCUGUCAUGAUGCCCCAGAGGUAUCUGCAUUCAUAUUUGUAUAGACAUGCUCACUGAGUAUGGAACUAGGCAUGACAAUGUCUCUCCUCUCUUUCCCCUGCUCUUCCAGUGGCUGACAGACAAGAGAGAAGGAAGUAAGUGAUGGGGGGGAUGGAGAGCCUGUACCCGGGAAAUAGACUGUAAGCUGCAGAUUCUGCUCACACGCUCUUAAGCUGAGCAAAGCAAAGGCACCACAGCCUGCUCCCCAUGCAUGGGGUGAGGAAAGUUUCCCCACCCCCACACCCCCAGCUCCCAGCAGAUUCUAGAUCCUCCUGCCUUACUCAUUCAGUCAUCAAGGGAAGGCCUGAUAUAUUUGGGUAACCUGAUCACUGAUGCACAGUGUCUGAGCUCCAGGAGGCAUGGAGUAAUGGUGAGAGAUGGGAUGUUGGGACCGGCUGGCUCCUUCUGCUCAGAGAGCCAGGCCUCCAG